rnacentral:rRNA from 1 species
UACAGAGGGGGCAAGCGUUGUUCGGAAUUACUGGGCGUAAAGGGCGCGUAGGUGGCCUUCUAAGUUGAACGUGAAAUCCCUGGGCUCAACCCAGGAACUGCGUCCAAGACUGGGAGGCUUGAAUUCGGGAGAGGGAUGCGGAAUUCCAGGUGUAGCGGUGAAAUGCGUAGAUAUCUGGAGGAACACCGGUGGCGAAGGCGGCAUCCUGGACCGACAUUGACGCUGAGGCGCGAAAGCCAGGGGAGCAAACGGG